UUUCUAAUAACCCAGCAAUACCCCCAAACAUUUGUUCUUCUCUCUUUUUCGAUUAACCCAUCAAGUAAGGCAACCAAGAACCUUCAUCAUCUUCUUCUUUCAAGCCAUUCGAAUCAGUCUUCAUCCCGCUCACUAUCUCCAAAUUCGAACCAGAGUCCAAAAAAGGAAAACUAAUAGAAGCAAUUUCUUCCUUCUAGCACUCGAAAUUAGGGCAACAAAGUUUCAGUCAUCUUCUACCUCAAGUUCUCACAAGAACCAUUGCAAGAUCUCCUCUCAUGCCGUUAUUUUCGGAUAGACUUAGACACUCCAUGAAUGUUCUUUUCUCCUUGAUUGAUUUUUGGUGUAAACAAAAUUAAGAUUUGAAUCUCUCAAUCUCUAUGUGUUAUUUUACUCCAUUCUCUCUCAUUCUUUUGAUUUUCCUCUCAAGAAUCGAACUUUAGCCCAUUUUUGAUUGGAUUUUUAAGUAACAUCAACAUUUUUGUGGUUAUUUUCUUCCAUUGAAGGAGAAUUCAUAAAGCAGCGAUCGAUUUCCCUUCCAAGUCCUUCGAAAUUCUGCCGAAUUGGGAAAAACAAAUAAGAUUCGAUUCUGUUUGAUUAAGCAUCGAGCUUCAAGCUGGAAAUUUAUUUCGGAAUCUGAUUUUUUGUUCCAUAUCAGUGCUACCGUCAAACAGAAGGAGGCGACAUCAUCGAGGAACCCUUCUAGUGAUCGCAGCGAACUAGACUUAGCUUUUUGAAGCAUUUUUUUUUUGUUUGUUUACAGAUCGGAACCAGUCGGGAAUGAUGGAUUAGCGGAGGUGAUUAGAGUUUUCCAAGGAUGUUAUAAUGAGCUUAGCACGUUAGAAUUUUGUAGUUCAAAUUAAGCCUUGGUAAUUGUAUAUUAGUCUAGACUGUAUUGGUUAUCUUGGGAAGUAAACCCCGUGAUGACUCUGUUUACUCAGUCAAUGAUAAGUUAGGUUAUUACAGGGUCGACCUAAUUCACGCGUGUAACAAUAUCACACAUUUUCCCUUGUUUUUUCCAUUUUCUGUACAUUUAUCAAUUUUGACCUUAAAGGUAUCAAAUUCAACGUAAAGUAAUCCUUAAACAUAUCAAUUAAAGUAAAAAUUUCAAUUUGAACCUUUAAGUGAUCAAUUUUGACGUUAAACUGAUCAAUUUCUACCUAAAUAUAUAUGGUUUUGUUUCACAAUUUUAGAACAAAGUUAUAUAAAAUAGUAUUAUUCUAUCAUUCUGUGGAUGAAUUUCAAACAACAAAUAAAUGGUCAAUAA